CAGCCGUAAACUAUGCUCGCUAGGUGUCAGGCAUGGCGCGACCGUGUCUGGUGCCGCAGGGAAGCCGUGAAGCGAGCCACCUGGGAAGUACGGCCGCAAGGCUGAAACUUAAAGGUAUUGACGGGGGAGCACAACAACGGGUGGAGCCUGCGGUUUAAUUGGACUCAACGCCGGACAACUCACCGGGGACGACAGCAAUAUGUAGGCCAGGCUGAAGACCUUGCCUGAAUCGCUGAGAGGAGGUGCAUGGCGUAGACGUCU
rnacentral:rRNA from 1 species